GAUGAACGCUGGCGGCGUGCCUAAUACAUGCAAGUCGAGCGAACGGACGAGAAGCUUGCUUCUCUGAUGUUAGCGGCGGACGGGUGAGUAACACGUGGAUAACCUACCUAUACGACUGGGAUAACUUCGGGAAACCGUAGCUAAUACCGGAUAAUAUUUUGAACCGCAUGGUUCAAAAGUGAAAGACGGUCUUGCUGUCACUUAUAGAUGGAUCCGCGCUGCAUUAGCUAGUUGGUAAGGUAACGGCUUACCAAGGCAACGAUGCAUAGCCGACCUGAGAGGGUGAUCGGCCACACUGGAACUGAGACACGGUCCAGACUCCUACGGGAGGCAGCAGUAGGGAAUCUUCCGCAAUGGGCGAAAGCCUGACGGAGCAACGCCGCGUGAGUGAUGAAGGUCUUCGGAUCGUAAAACUCUGUUAUUAGGGAAGAACAUAUGUGUAAGUAACUGUGCACAUCUUGACGGUACCUAAUCAGAAAGCCACGGCUAACUACGUG
rnacentral:rRNA from 1 species